rnacentral:lncRNA from 1 species
GACUGAGGUGUUUGUGGAAUGCACAUGCUUGGCCAUCAGAUCUGCCACCUCAAUUAAUGAGGGAGAUGUGAUGGCCCCUUGAUUUUUCAUAUUUUCUGAUUUUCUUUUAAUUGCACUUAUUUUAUUUAAUUCAUAAUAAAUCCAUUUUUAAUCCAAAAAAAUACGGGACUUUCACCAAAAAAAUUUAAAUAUUUUUCUCUUCCA